rnacentral:sRNA from 1 species
UCCCGAGCCAUUCCUGGUGACACAGAUGGCUCCAGGAUGCCCACCCUCAGGCAUGGUACCAAGAUGAUGGUACUGGGGAUUGUGAGACACUGUCAGCAAGGAGUGACACAUGAUGUAACCAUGGAAAAGCACACUACUCAGUCGCUAAGCCUUCCAGUGGUCAGAAUGCCCCUUUGUGGUUAAGCAUCCUUGAAGCUAAGACCACAGGUAACCUGGCUUUAAGCAACUAGACUCCAGCUAUCGGCAAACUUCUCAGCCCCCACGCAGUGCACCAAGUUGAAAGGCAAGCCAAGGCCAUGCAGAUCAACAACCUUACAUAAUACACCAGCUUGUUCGUGGUGAUUAAGUACUGAAUUCUCACUGUUACCCAAAUCUUGGUAGGUGUACUAGUUCAAAUUAAUAUUUCUAAAGAAGUCUGUUGGUAUCUGUCUUCAUUUUUCUGGAGUUGGGGGUCUAUGGUAGGAGCUCAUAGUUUAGCACAAAAUGUGCAUGGUGGCAACGUGUUUCGCAGUGAUGUGUGUAACUGAUUUGUAUGGGUUCCUUGUGAGAUUUUUUUUUUAAAGUGUUAUGGUCUGAACAUAAUAGGUUUUAGGGGAAAAGUACUUGGUGGGUCUCGGCCAAAGUAUGCAGAAAGGAUCGUAUCACAUGACAGAUCUCACACAUGAGACUUGUGAAAGGCCAUCUGGAAGUGAGAACGUGAGAGAGAGAUAGAGACAGACAGAUAGACAGACAGAC